rnacentral:lncRNA from 1 species
CAGUGUUCAAGGGGUCAACUUUGACCACUUCUAAUUCUCUGUUCUUGCAUGCUCUAGUCAAUCCCAAGCAUUGAUCUUGUAGUAUACAUGUAGUACUACAAUUAUCCACCAUCACCUUGGUCAUACAACAUAUAAGAUGUAAGAUCUGAGCCUUUAAAAUCAUUGUCAGGGCUAUUUUGGGUUUUCUGGGUAACCCAAAAACCCAGUCAGCUUCAAGUAGGCACUUUGUGGCUUAAAAAACUUAGGGUUCUGGUUGAUGUUAUAGUGGUAUAAUGGAACCAAAUUGUAGUCUACACGACAUAUUAUAAAUACCAUUCAUCAUAUCAGUCCAACGAAAUCAGAAUCAUUAGAUAUCAUACGGUCAAACCUUGUCAGAAGUGAUGGUCUUAAGUUUUCUGGGUUUCCUAGAAAAUCGAGUUCAUGAUCAAGUAAGCUCGUUUGACCAUCCAUUACAUUCAGUCUGUUGGUUUUCUAAGAUAUAUAAAGGCUGGGAUCUAAAGUCCAUUUAACAGGCUAUACACUAGAUACAAUAACAUCUCCAAAUCUCCUAACAUCUGACAGCUAUUGGCCUUAGAAAAUCUUGUCAGACCCUGAUAUUGAGUUUCUGGGUUGCCCAGAAACUCUUGGUCAUGCUCGGUCAACUAUGUUUGACCAAGAAUAUCUUGUAACCUGGAUCUGAUCUAAGCAUGAUUUCAAGUCCAGAUUAAAGUCCUUAUGGAAAACUACAAGUCUAAAACAUAAAACACACAAAAUCAUAAAUAGAGAGAGAUCUACAGCCUCUGACUUUUGCUUGUCAGACACAAAUUUAGGGUUCAUGUCAGUUUUGAAAAACUUUGAUUUUAAGGCACUUUGCUGUUAUAGAUCUAUGAUGGAUCAUCAUAGAUCAUCUUAAAACAUUUUCUAACACAUGAAUCAACACAUAAACAACACUUUGGACUUAGCAUACAAGAUCAAAGUAGGUUUAGGGCUUAUAUACCUUCUAG